CAAAAUUCAAAAUAUUUUUAUUCAACUAAACUUUUACAAGUACUUUUCAAUCUUCAAAUGCAUCUAGCACUGGUUCAGAAUGUCUUUCCUACC